CAGUUGGUAGAGCGGAGGACUGUA
rnacentral:piRNA from 4 species